UGAGCGUGAGCUAUAGAUACGUACUUCAGCAUGAAGGUACCGACUCCACCGUGCACGGGAAUGAUACCACGGCCUGAAAGAAAAUUGGCAUUAAACAACGCUUGCGUUGGUCCAAUCCCUUCCCCUUACAAAAAGACCGGCAAAGCACUUGUAAGUCCUCUGGUGUUGUCCAUGGGCACCGCUGAUAACUUACUGUCAAGUAAUUAAAUUACUCCUAUACUGUAUCACAUCAAAAUCUAGAAAUUAACUUUCAAUAACAAACAAUGUCGUAGGUAAUACGUAGUAUCGAAAUUGCCUUAACUGUGACCGAUAACACGCAGUAUGUAGAAUCAUUAUUAGUCCGUUGUAUGCGACACGUAGGUAUUACAAUUUAUACACUAUGUACUAUGUAGGUAUCUACUGCGAAUAUAGAUAGCGAAUGAUUGUCCUUGUGUUCAACGCUGCAUAUUUCGCGCAAUUUUAAUCAAACUCAUCUAGAUAUUUUGUAAUCUCUGUAAAUGUAAACAUAGCAUAUUAAUUAAAAAUAUUGAUACUUCCCGCCGGUAUCGUAAGUAUACACGGUGUAUCAAAAAGGGGGUAUACAUAUCAAGUGUUCGGUUUCUAGAUAACAUAACAAACGAUAAGGGAAGGGUUUUUUAAACUCAUGUUUUCAUGGAACGAAGUUAUGAAUUUUUCCAAUAUUAAUUUUUUAUUUAUCAUGCGAAUUAAAAUUAGGUAGAUAGGUACUAGGUGAUCAGAUUUACAGAAGAAAUGUUUCGAAAUUAGCAAGCGACCCUUGUAGUGUUGUGACACGUUUGUAUGAUUUAUAAGAUCCAUGUGACACCAAGUAUUGGGUACCAAUUUUUUUAAACGUAUUUUAAGCUGAAACUUUGUUUAGAGAUUCUAUUUUUAACCUGUAUUCUUCAGUGCUUCUUGAUGUAUAUGGGUAUUUUGUUACACGCUGUAUAGCUGCAUAGUGACGGUAGGGAUUUGAGUUAGGGAUAGGGCGCUUUUGUCACCACUCUUACUCUUCAUGCGAGUAUCGAGAGAGUCAAAUAAGGGAUCACGUAUUGACCAGAGACCCGGAAGCAACGUUUUUUGAUAAACCUGGUUGUUUUAAAUGGCUAUAUACAACUCCCUUACCAAAUGUGCAGAUCGAAAUUAUGCCAGGAUCGAAAAGCAGGAGUAGGAACGGAGUGAUUUUUAGUCAGUAAGAGCCUGACACUUCCUCUUGCCUCGCCCAAGGCGGGAGAAGCCAUUGGAUUAUUUUCCUCCCUCAAAAAAGCCCUCUUUUACAGAGUAGGUUUAUAGUCUAGCACUGGACUCUCUCGGGCAAAACAAUGAGGUAUAUCGAGUAAAUUUUUCUCCUAAUAAUACCUUCAUUAUACCCUGAGAGUUAUCGCAAAAAUGCAUGGAUAAUAAGUAAUUGAGUAAUUAUAUCACUAGGUAAACACUUCAAUAAUCCUGUCGUAAGCAUCAAUUACUCUUAUUUCCAUUUCGAUUAUAUAAUUGGGUGUAUCAAAAGUCAAACUGACAAAAAUAAAAUAAACAUAACAUAACGUCUUAGCAACAAUUUAAUCAGUAUUCCAAGACUUUACAUGCAGCAAAACGCAUGGAUACGAACGGCAUGAUAAUAGUCAUAAGAAAAACACAGACACUUUUUUUAAUACAUAACAAGAUAAACAUGUGGUUAUAUGAUACGAAACAUUAUUUUUUUUUUGUAUGACCCAUGCAUUGUCGUUCCAUGUCUGGUAGCGAUAAUAAUAUAAUCUUUUAUUUUCAUAUAAUCACUCCAUAAAAAAAAUGUCUGUAAAAUAUGUUUUAGUAAACGCACUCAUACAAGUCUAAAUACUAACAUAUUCAUACUUUGUAAUCUUCAUUUAUACUUUAGUUCCAGCUUUUGUCUAACAUGCUUGUAGCGUGUACCAUCACUCGCUAAGUUGUCCACCUUCAAUCAGCCACAUGGUCCCAUUGUCAGCUCCAUCAUACAUUUCCACUUCAAUUUUAGAAAUUAUUCCAGAAAAUUAUGGUUUGGCAUUGUUUGCUUCGCGCUCGUCUUGGCGACCUUCAAAUUAGCCUAAUUACCCCUCUUCUCAAUCCUAGAUUGCCCAACAAUCCUAAAAUAUAUAUAAUACCUCUGGUGUUUCGGGUAUCCAUGUCCGGGCGACGGCGAUUGCUUACCACCAGCGAUCCGUAUGCUGGUUUACCAGCAAUUAAAAAAAAAAUCUUUUUUAAAAAUUCAUACAAUCACGUUCGUGACAACAUUGACACAAGAAGUUUACAAUGUGUAUAUACGAACAGACAAAAUAACCGCCUUGUUAUAGUUAACAAGCUCCCGGGGCAUGAACUAAUUUACAUGUAAACCGCUUACAACGCGCGCGCCGUCAGAUGUCAGGCUUAGUGGCACGGCCUUAGCAGUGUAAAAAUUGUAUCGAUAGGCUUACAUGAGGUGAUACUUUUACACCUGACUGCCUGCUUGGUUAUGUCGGUAGAGUAACAACAUUGUUUUGGGAGCUAUUCCCAGUUCCAUUACAAGAUAUUACGCAUUUUGCUAGCAGAUUUCCUACUAUUUUGGUACGGUUGUUGUAAGUGAAACAUCAAACUUACUAAUCAGGAUUUUUCACUUCAAUGUCUUUAAUGUAAAAUAUAUUAUGGUGGCCCGUAGGUUUUAAGAUUCUCUCCUCAUGCACAAAGCGCGGGUUCGAAACCUACCAACGGUAAGUAUCAAUGUGACUUUUUCCGAGUUACUUUCUAAGUUUAUUUAGACACCACUGACAAACCGUGAAGAAUAACAUCGUGAGGAAUCUUGGGCAUAAGUUUAAAGUCGCCAACCUAUAUUAACCAAACGUGGCGAUUAAUGUUCAAACCUUCUCCAUGCGAGAAGACGCUUUGGUCAGCAGUGGUCACUAAUAGGCUGUUGAUGUGCGUGUAAAAGGUCUCAAUAUUUACUUUAUUUCCUGAAUACAAAUGAAAUAUUUCCACAUUUUAUUUCAUAUGUCCAAUGAAUCAGAGAUCAUUAUACCCCAAGCGAUGCGCAGUAAAGUAUAAAAAAUAACAAGGUGCUCAGAUAAUGACAAGGAUUCACUCGUUACUGUCGCUCUUAAUUGCUACAGAUAGAUGUCACUACCUGGCUUACAGUUUACAAAAUAAUAACGCAAACUAUGAAUCUUGUAUUCAUAUACGGAAUUUGGAUUUAUGAAAUCUGGGUCACAUUGAUACUUUGGAUUUGUUUAAUUCUAAUGCUCUGCCUAAAAGAGCCUAGAAAAAAUGGUUUCAACAAACAAACUUCUUUCUCAAAUACAUUGUAAUAUAGUGUCAAACAACUUGUUGUUUGGUUUUAUCAUGUAUCAUAAAUUUUGAUAAUUUUUCCAAACAGUAACAAAAUUCUAUUGCAGGUCUUUGUUCGUAUCUAAUAGGAUAGGCAAUGACCGCUAUUUAUAUAAAAUUAAUAUAAUCUUAAUGAUAACGAACACAGAUAUCAAGGUCCUUCACAUUGAUAUUUUUUCUAUAAGUACAUUACUAUAAUAAUAUUCUACAACGAACGUUGGUUUAGUUUUAUCGCAUGUAGAACAAUGGAAAGAUCGAUUCAGAAUAAAAUUGUAGCAGUCGUGGGAGGAGCUCAAGGCAUAGGAUGUGCAAUAGCUGACUGCUUCCUACUCCAUGGAGCAAAAACUGCCAUCCUGCUGGACAUAAACGAUAUACAAGGACCAAAAGCUGAAGAUAGACUAACAGAGAAGCAUGGGAAAGACAAAGCUGUGUACAUAAAGUGUGAUGUGACGACGGAUCUUGAGACAGUUUCCAAAAGAAUCAUUGAAGCUUACAAUACCAUUGAUGUGUUGGUUCUGAGUGCUGGCACAUUAACUCCGGAUCGCAGAAAAAUGAUGGACAUAUACGCGACAUCUGUUAUAGAAUGGUCUAUGAAAUUCUAUGAGCACAUGAGGAAGGAUAACGGAGGAUGCGGUGGAACGAUUAUAACUAUAUCUUCUAUAUUUGGGUUUAGACCGGCGCCUCAUGCUCCAGUGUACCAAGCAGCCAAAUACGCAGUGUUCGGCUUCACGAAAUCCUUAGGUCAUCUUGAUAAUUUUCACAAAACUGGUGUACGUGUUAUGGGACUGUGUCCAGGGUUCACUGAAACCAUUCUUACCCGGAGGAUAAGAGAUCCGGAACGUCAAAAGGAGUUACCGAUAGAUUUAGUGAAAUUCGCAACGUCACUUCCUUGGCAAACUGUUGAGGACGUGGGUGAAGCUGCAGUGGAAGUGUAUGCUCGAGCUGACAGUGGAACCAUGUGGCUGAUUGAAGGUGGACAACCUAUUGAAGAAAUACAGUGAAAAUUAACUUUGCAUGGCGGGUGCGUACCAGGACGUCAGAACAUACAAGGAGCCUCUACUGAGUUCUCUGGAAGAAGAUGAAUCAAGCGAUGGAGUGGUGGAAGUCGAGCCCAGCUUUAUACAGUUGGAGAUCAUGGAUAAUGAUUUCAGAAGGAAUCCGUGAGGGAGGAAAUUAAAGGACAAGGCUCAUAAUUUGCUAAAGCAAUGGAUGAGGUGCUGACUACUAUUGAAGAAGAUUUCCAAAACUGAAAUGGAAAAUGGAUUGACAAACUAGUCUUCGACUAGGCCUGACCAAGUCAGUAAAUUACGUGGAAGGGACGACCCAAGGAGACCCCUGGAGAAAAUUAAUUGAUCUAUGUAUUUAUUAAUUAAUUGGAAAGUUACUUAUAACUAAGGUCAAGUGAGGGACAGUGUACCUAUUAAAGGGUAUAUUUAUUUGUAGUCGUUGAGUGUGUGUUAUGUUCUUUAACGUACCGUAGUUCAGGCAUUUCUCUCAAAUCAGUUUUCCUUAAAUAAAAUUAACUUCCUUUUCAAUCAACUCUUGCUUCUUUUA